ACGGGAGGCAGCAGUGGGGAAUAUUGCACAAUGGGGGAAACCCUGAUGCAGCGAUGCCGCGUGGAGGAAGAAGGUUUUCGGAUUGUAAACUCCUGUCUUAAAGGACGAUAAUGACGGUACUUUAGGAGGAAGCUCCGGCUAACUACGUGCCAGCAGCCGCGGUAAUACGUAGGGAGCGAGCGUUGUCCGGAAUUACUGGGUGUAAAGGGAGCGUAGGCGGGAUUGCAAGUCAGAUGUGAAAUACAGGGGCUCAACCUCUGGGCUGCAUUUGAAACUGUAGUUCUUGAGUGAAGUAGAGGUAAGCGGAAUUCCUGGUGUAGCGGUGAAAUGCGUAGAUAUCAGGAAGAACACCGAUGGCGAAGGCAGCUUGCUGGGGACUUAUCGACGCUCAUGCUCGAAAGUGCGGGUAGCAAACAGGAUUAGAUACCCUGGUA
rnacentral:rRNA from 1 species